GUACGGGGGAGCAAGCGUUGUUCGGAUUUACUGGGCGUAAAGGCGCGUAGGCGGUGCAACAAGUCACUUGUGAAAUCUCCGGGCUUAACCCGGAGCGGCCAAGUGAUACUGUCGUGCUAGAGUGCGGAAGGGGCUACUGGAAUUCUCGGUGUAGCGGUGAAAUGCGUAGAUAUCGAGAGGAACACCUGCGGCGAAGGCGGGUAGCUGGGCCGACACUGACGCUGAGGAGCGAAAGCCAGGGAGCAAACGGG
rnacentral:rRNA from 1 species